CCCUAUGGGGUGCAGCAGGCGAGAAACCUUUGCAAUGUGCGCAAGCACGACAAGGUUAAUCCGAGUGUUUCCUGCUAAAGGAAUCUUUUGCUAGUCCUAAAAACACUAGUGAAUAAGGGGUGGGCAAGUUCUGGUGUCAGCCGCCGCGGUAAAACCAGCACCUCAAGUUGUCAGGAGGAUUAUUGGGCCUAAAGCAUCCGUAGCCUGCUCUGUAAGUUUCCGGUUAAAUCCAUUUGCUCAACAAAUGGGCUGCCGGAAAAACUGCAAAGCUAGGGAGUGGGAGAGGUAGACGGUACUCGGUAGGAAGGGGUAAAAUCCUUUGAUCUAUUGAUGACCACCUGUGGCGAAGGCGGUCUACCAGAACACGUUCGACGGUGAGGGAUGAAAGCUGGGGGAGCAAACCGGAUUAGAUACCCGGGUAGUCCCAGCUGUAAACGAUGCAGACUCGGUGAUGCGUUGGCUUGUGGCCAGUGCAGUGCCGCAGGGAAGCCGUUAAGUUUGCCGCCUGGGAAGUACGUACGCAAGUAUGAAACUUAAAGGAAUUGGCGGGGGAGCACCACAAGGGGUGAAGCCUGCGGUUCAAUUGGAGUCAACGCCAGAAAUCUUACCCGGAGAGACGGCAGAAUGAAGGUCAAGCUGAAGACUUUACCAGACAAGCUGAGAGGUAGUGCAUGGCCA
rnacentral:rRNA from 1 species